GGUAAAGGAAGAGAUGGUGGAAAGUGGAAUGGCUAGAAGCAGGGAGCAAAAGAAGAAGGGAGUGGAACCAAAAGGGGAGGCAUGAAGGUGAAGAAGAUGAUGAACAAUAGUAGGGGAAUAUAUUCCUUUUUGUUUGAUUGUGUUUCACCGUUUCUAUUGAUUUUUGUUCAGAGGAGAUACAUUUUUUUUUAAUUUGCUGUAACAAAAAAUAACGAGAAUAGCAGCCA